CACAAGUCACUUUGUCUCUUGCCUUGAAUAAAAAUAAAAUCAGCAACAUACAGACUACAAUUGAGGAAAUAGUUAACCUGUUCUUCAGCUAUGUGGAUCCUCAAAAUAUUCUCAGAUUGGAGAAAGGUAACACUGAAGCAUGACUCUAAAGCUUGUUUUGGUUACCCAGCAUGACUCUUUCAUGAAGGGAGUGACUGCCAAUUUGUUCUACACCAUCAUAUGGGACUUGCUCCAAAAUCUUAAAAGAGACAUUCUGAAACAGACUGCAAAGUGCUCAGAUUCAACCCCUGUCAAGGGGCAACAAAAAGAAAUUCACCGUAUCUGUACACAGUUUUCAAAAGGGAAUCCACAAGAAAGUGAGAAAGCUAGCAGAAGGGGACAAAAAAAUAUAUUUGAAAGCAGCAUGGAAACUAGUAGAAGUUUAAAUCAAAAGCAUUCCACCUGUCAAUAAAGACUUGAGAAAUGGCAAAUACAAAUAGCUAAAUAGCAAUGCAAAGGAAGCUAAUAAAUUAAGAAGGUGUCCUUGAAAAAAAAAAAAAUAAAUUAAAAAAAAAAUGAAUUUUUGUCCAAGAAAACAUCAUAAGCUUCAGUAGGCACAGUAUAAGAAGAUAGUAAGGUGGAUCAGUGGAUCACAAAAAGCAUCUGAAGAACAACUUGGAAAGGUGCAAAAACUGAUACCACAUAUAUUUUUUCAUAUACAACAGAAACGAAGCUUUGCAGAUAAUCUGCACA